UCCGAGUUGACCCCGGCAUGACCCGAUGGCAACUGGAAACAGGGGUUUCGCUCGUUAAGGGACUUAACCCGACAUCUCACGACACGAGCUGACGACAGCCAUGCAACACCUAUAUACGUUCCACCCGUGAGGGUGUCACCAUGCUUUCACACGGCUAAUCCGUACAUUUCGAGCCCGGGUAAGGUUCUUCGCGUUGCAUCGAAUUAAGCAACAUGCUCCACCGCUUGUGUGAGCCCCCGUCAAUCCCUUUGAGUUUCAGCCUUGCGACCAUACUCCCCAGGCGGGAUACUUAACGCUUUCGCUCCGUUAAAAAGCCCCUUGCAGGGCCUUCUAAGUAGUAUCCAUCGUUUAGGGCGUGGACUAC
rnacentral:misc_RNA from 1 species